UACGUAGGGUGCAAGCGUUAAUCGGAAUUACUGGGCGUAAAGCGUGCGCAGGCGGUUCGCUAAGACAGAUGUGAAAUCCCCGGGCUCAACCUGGGAACUGCAUUUGUGACUGUAGAGCUGGAGUACGGCAGAGGGGGAUGGAAUUCCGCGUGUAGCAGUGAAAUGCGUAGAUAUGCGGAGGAACGCCGAUGGCGAAGGCAAUCCCCUGGGCCUGUACUGACGCUCAUGCACGAAAGCGUGGGGAGCAAACAGG
rnacentral:rRNA from 1 species